rnacentral:rRNA from 1 species
UACGAGAGGCCCAAACGUUAUUCGGAAUUACUGGGCUUAAAGAGUUCGUAGGCGGCAUUGCAAGUAGGGUGUGAAAGCCCUCGGCUCAACCGAGGAAUUGCGCUCUAAACUGCAGUGCUUGAGGAACCUAGAGGUGAGCAGAACAGAUGGUGGAGCGGUGAAAUGCGUUGAUAUCAUCUGGAAUACCGGAGGCGAAGGCGGCUCACUGGGAGUUUUCUGACGCUGAGACACGAAAGCCAGGGGAGCGAACGGG